UGUAAUGAUAUAGGUGAAAUCACAAAUAAUCCAAAUUCGAUUUUCAGUAGAUUCUAACUUUUAAUUUUAUUAAAGUCUUUACUUAUAAUUAAUAAUACAUUCUGUGCUAGGCAUGGUGUUUCAUUGCUCUGUUGGUUGCUAUAUCCAUACCAGUAAUAUGAAAAAGAAACGGGCACGAGAAGAGCUCACAAAGAUUUACGAGGAAGAAAGGAAGAAGAUUUUGGAUGGGCAUCUAUCAGAGAAGAGGACGUCGAUGUAAACACAGGAAUAUUCAACACCAAGAAGCCUAUCAUGCUCAGGGUCCAAGUCCGUUCAGACGAGUAAGAUGGCAAAGACCCAGUGUUCUCAGAGCCUGACAGCGCCGACAUCCGCAUCAUCCAGUGUAUUAUCUCCCUUGUGUUACAUUAAAACCAGGGACCAUUUCACCAA